UACGUAGGGUGCAAGCGUUGUCCGGAAUUAUUGGGCGUAAAGAGCGUGUAGGCGGCCCGAUUAGUCCGCUGUGAAAGUCCAGGGCUCAACCCUGGAAUGCCGGUGGAUACUGUCGGGCUAGAGUCCGGAAGGGGCGAGUGGAAUUCCUGGUGUAGCGGUGGAAUGCGCAGAUAUCAGGAAGAACACCCGUGGCGAAGGCGGCUCUCUGGGACGGUACUGACGCUGAGACGCGAAAGCGUGGGGAGCGAACAGG
rnacentral:rRNA from 1 species